GUCUUCAGGGCAGGGUGUAAUUCCCGACCGGCGGUGACUUUUACUAGGAAAUGGUCUUUUCCUUUUCCAUACUCUAAAAGAAGUCCGCGAGCGCAAGCUGAUGUGGUGCGAUUCCACAACCGACAGUAUAGUCUGGAUGGGAGAAGACG
rnacentral:ncRNA from 1 species